GACGAACGCUGGCGGCGUGCUUAACACAUGCACGUCGAACGGUAAGGCCCUUCGGGGUACACGAGUGGCGAACGGGUGAGUAACACGUGGGUGAUCUGCCCUGUACUUCGGGAUAAGCCUGGGAAACUGGGUCUAAUACCGGAUAGGACCACUGCCUGCAUGGGUGGUGGUGGAAAGCUUUUGCGGUGUGGGAUGGGCCCGCGGCCUAUCAGCUUGUUGGUGGGGUGAUGGCCUACCAAGGCGACGACGGGUAGCCGACCUGAGAGGGUGGCCAGCCGCACUGGGACUGAGAUACGGGCCAGACUCCGCAGGGAGGCAGCAGUGGGUAAUAUUGCACAAUGGGCGCGAGCCUGAUGCAGCGACGCCGCGGGAGGGAUGACGGCCUUCGGGUUGUAAACCUCUUUCAGCACCGACGAAGCGCAAGUGACGGUAGGUGCAGAAGAAGGACCGGCCAACUACGUGCCAGCAGCCGCCGUAA
rnacentral:rRNA from 1 species